UUAUUGGGCGUAAAGCGAGCGCAGGCGGUUUUUUAAGUCUGAUGUGAAAGCCUUCGGCUCAACCGUAAGAAGUGCAUCGGUAAACUGGGAAACUUGAGUGCAGAAGAGGACAGUGGAACUCCAUGUGUAGCGGUGAAAUGCGUAGAUAUAUGGAAGAACACCAGUGGCGAAGGCGGCUGUCUGGUCUGUAACUGACGCUGAGGCUCGAAAGUAUGGGUAGCAAACAGGAUUAGAUACCCUGGUAGUCCAUACCGUAAACGAUGAAUGCUAAGUGUUGGAGGGUUUCCGCCCUUCAGUGCUGCAGCUAACGCAUUAAGCAUUCCGCCUGGGGAGUACGGCCGCAAGGCUGAAACUCAAAGGAAUUGACGGGGGCCCGCACAAGCGGUGGAGCAUGUGGUUUAAUUCGAAGCUACGCGAAGAACCUUACCAGGUCUUGACAUACUAUGCAAAUCUAAGAGAUUAGACGUUCCCUUCGGGGACAUGGAUACAGGUGGUGCAUGGUUGUCGUCAGCUCGUGUCGUGAGAUGUUGGGUUAAGUCCCGCAACGAGCGCAACCCUUAUUAUCAGUUGCCAGCAUUAAGUUGGGCACUCUGGUGAGACUGCC
rnacentral:rRNA from 1 species